CCGACCGCAAGACUUCUCAAUAAGACACAAGGAGUGACGCGCUGCGUGAAGGAUACGCGAAGACGCCGCGUCACCGGCCCCGGAGUGAGCUCCUCCUUCCUCCCGCCACUCUCACAAUGACCUUGAAUAAUGCAGGAUAUCGGGGCAUAUCGAGCGGAUGCAUUGGGAUCUCCUUCUGUCUCGUUCUCUCCGUCCCUCCUUCGACACGACUUCCCUCCGAUCGGCCGUCUGGAGAAGAGCUAAUAACAGCUUUACAUGCAUUUAGAGAGACAUAUGAACCUUCAGAGCUUCACUUUAAAGAGAAGUGAUGAGGUCGUAGAUCAGUCCCUCAUCGACCGGCCCGUUGUUCGGGGACCAAAGUCUGGAACUUUCUCGAUUUGGAUGCCGGCUGCUCCCCUGGCGCUGAAGCAAGAGGACUCUGGAAGGUUCUGGAGACGCCCGUCGCCCGUCGCCGCGCUCAAAGUGUUUCCUUUAGUGUUUACGACUGUUUAGUCAACCUUGCCAAAUGGCCUCUGAAGUUUUUAAUGUCGCUCAUUCAAUUAAAGUUCGAGGGAGAACAGAACCUGGGGGGGCAAUAAGUCACAUAUUGGUAUUAUCCUGCCCGGCUAAUUACCGAAGCAAUGAACUUUAAUUAAUAUCCGAGCUUGGCGUGUGUGUGUGUGUGUGUCAAAGCAUGCCAAUGUGUGCGUGUGCAUGUUUCUUUGCGCACUUGUGGCCAACUCUCCUUUUAUCUCAAGCCAUCGCACUUCAACACUCGUUCGUACACACACGCGCACACACACACACGCACACACAGGUUGACAUUUCGCCGAGCUGACACCGGUGAACCGGGGAAGGCUAGCCGCGCCGUUAGCAUUAGCAUAAUUAUCUCAAGUCAUCGGCGGCGCUGGAGGCCAGAUGCAACAACACGAGCGGCAUCACACACACACACACACACACACACACACACACACACACACAGCUCAGUGGACUCCGCCUCCUCUCCUUGUUGUCCUUUUUAAAUGCAGUGGUGUGGAUUAGACGCAGCGGAUCGGUCGCUAUUAAUAAUUGACGCUGAACCUUCUUCUUCACGUUCCCUCGUCCAUGUGACUUGUAUCCAUGAAAAUACCAAUUCCUGUAAAACAUCUGCAAUUAAAAGUGAAAGUACACCAACGCUGCUGCAGUUGGUGUAAG